ACUGCCGUGAACGGUGGGACUGGGAAUUCCGGUUGCUCCUCAUUUGUGUCAAGCGUCUAAGAGGAAGAACGGAGUAAGACAAAAUUAGGCAUGAGAGUCAAGAGUACUGGUAUCUCCUGUGCUUAGUCCAAGAGCCCUACUGGAAUUGGGGAAGGUUAAGCCUCAGGGGAAUUGCAAGGAUGCUGAUAACAACAGUGAACACUUUUCAAUGGCUUCAGCAGCAAAGAGAAGCCUUCUGGGAGAUGAGGUGACAUAAAGAAGAGGCCAAGAAGCAAGAGAAAGCUAUUGAUU